AAUUCACAAAUUGUAUGUAAUGAGAAAAAAAGACCUAAUUAUGCUCUUUAUCUUUCACAAAACUUACCCAAAAACAAAAACUGAGAUAGUAUACAAGAGAAAAUUGUGAACCUCUUGUAGUAAUAUACACACUUUCUGAGGGCGAUACCAUCAACUACCGGGGAUCUAUCAUGGUAACUGUAACUUGAUUGACAGUGCAAGUUUCUUCAUAAUUAGUCGAAUAUGAAUCAGAAUCAACGGGUCUUCUUCCAAGGCAAAAUCCUGGGUUUUUAGGCUGAGGAAGUGAUGCACUUUCGCUACCUAGCAUCAAAACCACAGUGGCCAUGUUUGGUCGGUCUUCUGCUUGUUCCUGGACACACAACAGUCCAACCUGUAUGCAUCUCAUUACUUCAGAUGGAGAAAAAGAUUCUCCAAAAGAUGGAUCUAGUAGCUCUGAGCCGCUCCCUUCUUUCCAGAGUCUCCACGCAUGUCCAAGAAGGUUGAGUUGGUUAUUUUGAUAAUAGAAUCCCCUGUUCUUCUUUCCGGUUACUAUUUCUAACACCAAAACCCCAAAGCUGAAAACAUCGGACUUAACAGAGAAGAGGCCAUCCAUUGCAUAUUCCGG
rnacentral:misc_RNA from 1 species